AUGCAUGUUAAGUCCAAAUUAGUAAUCACUUCCAAUAAAAUGAAAUUAUACACAUUUACAACCGUAACUAGAACCAUGAGCAUUCAAGUAGGAAGUCACAAAUGCGUUGUAACAUAUUAAAGGCAACACAAAAGAGAGGGGGNNGAAGACAACCUAACAUCACAUCAGAUAGAUCUGGUAGUCUUUCCUUUUGUUUUAUAGAGGUAACCCCAAAAUUUAAAAGGAGAAGCAGGAAUUAAGGGUUGGAAAAGCUCAACUAAAAAGCGCUACUAGCCCAAUGGAGGAUUCUCUACUUGUUAAGGCACUUAAACUACUAUGUUAACCGGAAAACAUCCUCUUACAUUUUUAUCCAACAAACACUCGUAUUCAUCUCCUUCAGAAAGUAAUUUACAUUAAAUAUGUCCCAAUUGAGUAGGCAUGUUAAAAAUUUGCACAUGAACUCUUCUCAAAUGAACUCCCCUACUAUUUCUAUUUGGUGCAUCAUUUUUUUUUAAUUUGCUCAACUACAGGCCACACCUAACUGGAAGGGAAUAUCAAAUGUGUCUGCUUUAAAAGCAUCCAACAUGUUAAUCCAAUAGACAACUCCACUUGCCUUGAUAAAAGUAUUUCCAACAACUAAUGAAUGGGAUGGCGGUUUUGAAUUUCCAUAUUGUCCUUCUUUGAUGCAUAAGCUUAACCAAACACUCGUAUACCCUUUGCACAUGAACUCUUCUCAAAUGAACUCCCCUAAUAUUUCUUUUCGGUGCAUCACUUUUUUUUAAAUUUGCUCAACUACAGGCCACACCUAACUGGAAGGGAAUAUCAAAUGUGUCUGCUUUAAAAGCAUCCAACAUGUUAAUCCAAUAGACAACUCCAGUUGCCUUGAUAAAAGUACUUCCAACAAGUAAUGAAUGGGAUGGUGGUUUUGAAUUUCCAUAUUGUCCUUAUUUGAUGCAUAAGCUUAACCAAAACUUACUCAUGUCUUAAAAGAGUCAUAAAUGUAUACAUGGAUGUUUAGCAGUUAACAUAGACACCUUUUUUUUGGUACUCUAACCACAGAAAUUAUCUUAAGGGUGGCAGAAUUGUCAAAGUUUGAACCCUUUAACCCCUGCAAUACAAGGCAAGCCCUCAACCACAGAGCUGCUAGCCUGUUAUGAGUAAGGCAUAGAGCAGUUUUAGAUUAGUUGAGUAGUAGAAUAGAAUUCUCUUCAGUCUGUUGUAACUGUAGAAAGCAGUUAUAAGACCCUAAGUAGUAUAAAACAGGAACUUAUUGUAAAGAGGAGAAAAAUUCUCUUUGUUACUUCUCUCCUUUCUAUUUCUUUUCUCAACCCACUCUACUUCUAUCUCUCUCUCACUAUUUCUCUGCUCCAUAGGGUAUUACACGUCUGAUAUGUACAUAACCCAAUAGCAAUAAUGGAUACUUUAGCAGAUGGCAACCUCAAUGACUCAACCAGUGUGUGUGUGUGUGUGUGUGUGUGUGUGUGUGUGUGAGUGUGAGAGAGAGAGAGGAUGCAUCAAUGCUCUUGGUCCAAUUGGCAUUUUCCUCCACUCACAUACUAUUAAUUUGCACCUAAGAACAUGUUCUAUAAUAAAACCUCAAAAGACUACCGUGGAUGUAGCACAAUCUCAUAUAAGCUUUAAACCAAUUUGUUAUUUUAUCGUAAUUUCCUACUUGAAAUCCAAUCACCAAACUAUUUGACGCAAAAAUAUUUCCUAAUGAUUAGUAAGAAGCUAUAUUAUUUCCGAAUACAUAUUACACUUGCUUACCCUUAAAGGAGUCGGCUAGAAUUUGAAUCAUUAAAGACCUCCCUCUCCUACACUAAGAUUAACCCCAUAACCAGAAUGAAAAGCAACUUUAGGCAUUUAAUAGCAUGCAGAUUUGCCUUAAGAAUCGCGCAACCAGAACCAUCAAGCAUCAUGCUCUCUCUCUCUAUCUUUCUCUCGCAUAUGUGAAUAUCCCUGACAACCAGAAAUGCUCGUCUUCCUCAUGCACCAACAUUUCAGCCUAAUGAUGUAAUCACACAAAUGGUGAAAUAUGAAACCCUAAAUGCUAGCAUGUUGGGUAUCCAUAACAUAGGACUCCGUCAGCAGCAAAAAAAUUUUGAACAUAUUAUUUCACAGCCUUUAAGUAAAGAUGCUAGAUUAUUUAUCAGGAUUUUUUUGAAAACUCUUGCUUUGAAGAUCAGUAGCCAAGUUAGAAGCAGAUGCUCUAUUAGAAUCCCUCAUUUGCCCUUAUGAGCCAGCUUUUGUCAACUAAAAACAUUGAUCCUACCCUGCUUUGAAGCAAUAUAUUUAAGCAUCACAUUUAUAUGUCAAAUAUAAAGGACAUCUCUACAUAGAACUAGAUGAUAAGUCACAAAACAUUGAUAACUACAAAUUUCACCAUAUUAAUUAAAUACAUCUCGACACAAAUGUAUUAAUUGUGCCAUUCACACCCAAAAACAUAAAUAAAAAUAUUGAUAGCAAAAAGGAUAAAUAAAAGAAAAGAAAAGCUAUAAGACAAUAAAUGUUAACA
rnacentral:lncRNA from 1 species